rnacentral:rRNA from 1 species
AUUCCAGCUCCAAUAGCGUAUAUUAAAGUUGUUGCGGUUAAAAAGCUCGUAGUUGGAUUUCUGUUGAGGACGGUCGGUCCAUCCUCUGGAUGAGCAUCUGAUACGGCCUCGGCAUCCUCUUGGGGAACGUCGUUGUGCUUUAUUGCGUGACACGGUAUUCAAGACUUUACUUUGAGGAAAUUAGAGUGUUCACGGCAGGCAGUCGCCAUUAAUACAUUAGCAUGGAAUAAUAACAUAGGACCUUGGUUCUAUUUUGUUGGUUUCUAGAGCUAAGGUAAUGAUUAAUAGGGAUAAUUGGGGCGAUUCGUAUUAUCACGUCAGAGGUGGAAUUCUUGGAUUGUGAUACGACGAACUACUGCGAAAGCAUUUCGCAAGGAUGUUUUCAUUG